UCCUGGCUAGCUCAAUCGGUAGAGCAGUUGACUCUUAAUCAAUUUGUUCGGGGUUCGAGUCCCCGGCCGGGAACCA
rnacentral:tRNA from 5 species